rnacentral:tRNA from 1 species
GGUAAAGUGGCCGAGAAUAGGCGGUAAAUUGUAAAUUUAUUUACGGGAUUUCCCCUUUAUCA